AUCCGGUUGAUCCUGCCGGACCUGACUGCUAUCGGAUUGAUACUAAGCCAUGCGAGUCUUUGUAGUAAUACAAGGCAGACGGCUCAGUAACACGUAGUCAACCUACCCUAUGGACAAGAAUAAUCUCGGGAAACUGGGCAUAAUUCUUGAUAGAUCAUAAUGCCUGGAAUGGUUUAUGGUUAAAAUGAUUCGUCGCCAUAGGAUGGGACUGCGGCCUAUCAGCUUGUUGGUGAGGUAAUGGCCCACCAAGGCGAUUACAGGUACGGGCUCUGAGAGGAGAAGCCCGGAGAUGGGUACUGAGACACGGACCCAGGCCCUAUGGGGCGCAGCAGGCGAGAAAACUUUGCAAUGUGCGAAAGCACGACAAGGUUAAUCCGAGUGAUUUCUGCUAAAGAAAUCUUUUACCAGUCAUAAAACCACUGGUGAAUAAGGGGUGGGCAAGUUCUGGUGUCAGCCGCCGCGGUAAAACCAGCACCUCAAGUGGUCAGGAUGAUUAUUGGGCCUAAAGCAUCCGUAGCCGGCUUUGUAAGUUUUCGGUUAAAUCCAUGUGCUCAACGCAUGGGCUGCCGAAAAUACUGCAUAGCUAGGGAGUGGGAGAGGUAGACGGUACUCAGUAGGAAGGGGUAAAAUCCUUUGAUCUAUUGAUGACCACCUGUGGCGAAGGCGGUCUACCAGAACACGUUCGACGGUGAGGGAUGAAAGCUGGGGGAGCAAACCGGAUUAGAUACCCGGGUAGUCCCAGCUGUAAACGAUGCAGACUCGAUGAUGCAUUGGCAUAUAGCCAGUGCAGUGUCGCAGGGAAGCCGUUAAGUCUGCCGCCUGGGAAGUACGUACGCAAGUAUGAAACUUAAAGGAAUUGGCGGGGGAGCACCACAAGGGGUGAAGCCUGCGGUUCAAUUGGAGUCAACGCCAGAAAUCUUACCCGGAGAGACAGCAGAA
rnacentral:rRNA from 1 species